UAUUGGAAACGAUAGCUAAUACCGCAUGAAAUUGCUUAUCGCAUGAUAAUUAAUCGAAAGAUGCAAUUGCAUCACUACCAGAUGGACCUGCGUUGUAUUAGCUAGUUGGUGAGGUAACGGCUCACCAAGGCGACGAUACAUAGCCGACCUGAGAGGGUGAUCGGCCACACUGGGACUGAGACACGGCCCAG
rnacentral:rRNA from 1 species